CCGGUUCGGUGGUUGUGGUGUCUGCUGCAGUGCUUGGAGUCCUCAGGAAGCGCUAGGAGCAUCCUUUAACGGAGGUACCCAGUCGGGGUGCCAGGUGAUCCGUUACAUUGGUGGCAAGCGGUGGGAUGGCGUCCUAGUGCAAGGUAAAGCAGCUCAGAGACACCGUUCGUGGAGUUACAAAUUGAGGGCAACACUAGCACACGUGCAGC